rnacentral:rRNA from 1 species
CCUACGGGAGGCAGCAGUGGGGAAUAUUGCACAAUGGGGGAAACCCUGAUGCAGCGACGCCGCGUGAGUGAAGAAGUAUUUCGGUAUGUAAAGCUCUAUCAGCAGGGAAGAAGAUGACGGUACCUGACUAAGAAGCCCCGGCUAACUACGUGCCAGCAGCCGCGGUAAU